CGGAGCUGUUCUUUUCUUUCGCGGUACUGCGGGGACGUGAAGAUGCUCCUGUGUCCCUGGGCUUCCCGCGAUAAGCGCGGUCGCAAAGCUCCAGCGGGCUUCGGACAAGCGGCUCCGGGCUUUCUUCCCCAGGCAGCACAGGGAUCCUGGGUCGUUGGGUCCGAGACGGGCCACUGCCCGCCGUUGCCUCACGAGGGCUCGGCCAUCCUGUGCCGGAGCCCUCCCUCUGCUUAGGCCGCAGGCACUUCUGGCUUGAUUCCAACUACCACCCCAUGACUUGAGCCGAAGCAGUAAUCCAAGGUAAUUCCGGUGUCCUUUUUAUAGCAGAGUCACUGGAGUCCAAUGGCAAGACAUAAGACAACUGGUGAUGGCCCUGAGGAGGUGGUGGUGGCGAUGAUGAUCAAGCAAAAGGGAUUGAGAAAGAUCGAUCAGACAGGAGAGAAUGUAGAGAAAAGGCUAACAUACAGAAGGAGGAAACAUAAAAAAAUAUUACUAUGCCUUAAGAUGAUACCGUGAACAUUCCGAGAAGUAUGGGAAGAUUUAUUUGAACUGCUGCAGUAUUCUGAACCAGGAAAACAAUAUAUCCACAACAGUGUAAAUUCAAAUAACAAAAACAAACUUAAUACAAGGAAACUUCAAUGACCAAGCUUGACCCACGAAAAUAGCUAAGAAAAUGCAUCUUCUUCCAUUCCUUGUGUAUCUAGUGGCAGCCUAUGGUUGUAGAAUAUUGCACAUAGUCAGGCGUGGUUGAUGUGUUGGUUUUGUUGAGAACAACUUUUUUCUUUUUUUAGGCUUUGUCAUAAAGGGAUAGCUUCAUAGGUAGGGAUUUUAAGAUCAAUAUUUUGGAAUCAAAGGGGAUGUAAAAAUAGGAUGAAAUUUUAAAAAAGAAAUACUGUUUCUUGUUGAUUUGGGAUACACAAUAAAACCAACUCUGUAGACUCCUUCA